rnacentral:sRNA from 1 species
GGCCUCCCAAAGUGCUGGGAUUACAGGCGUGAGCCACCGCACCCGGCCACACUGUGUUCUUAUUUUCUGCCAUGGUCUUCAAUUCUUUUCUGAAUGAAACAUACAAAGUUCUACAAGUUUAUUCUCAGUGUUCAGUAUUUGAGAUGGGCUUUCCUUCUAAAACAGACAGCCCUAGCUGUGAAUAUUCUCGGUUUGAUUUUGAUAGCGAUGAGGACUUCAAUGCUUUCUUCAACUCCUCUCGAGCGCAACAAGGAGAGGUGAUGAGGUUGGCAUGUCGUUUGGAUCCCAAAACUAGCUUCCAGAUGGCUGGGGAGUGGCUAAAGUAUCAACUAUCAACUUUUCUUGAUGCUGGUUCUGUGAAUUCUUGUUCUGCAGUUGGAACUGGAGAAGGAAGCCUCUGUUCCGUCUUCUCACCUUCAUUCGUGCAGUGGGAAGCCAUGACUCUUUUUUUGGAAAGUGUUAUCACCCAGAUGUUUCGAACACUAGAUAGAGAAGAAAUUCCUGUUAAUGAUGGAAUAGAGCUAUUGCAGAUGGUUCUGAACUUUGAUACCAAGGAUCCCCUCAUCCUGUCCUGCGUCCUUACUAAUGUCUCUGCACUCUUUCCAUUUGUCACCUACAGACCAG